rnacentral:misc_RNA from 1 species
GAAAACCUGAAGAGGAAAGUACUGGGAGAGAAGAGAGGCAGCAGCUUCUCAUCAUGUUCAUCUUUUGAGCUACUCGCAGCUCAUCUAUGGAAGGUCAGGACCAAGGCUUUAGGAGUGAGGAAGGAAAGAAUGGUGUGCCUGCAAUUUGCCGUGGACGCAAGGAACAAGAUGGUGCCCUCACUGCCUAAAGGUUUCAGUGGCAAUGCUUAUGUUCUGGCAUCAGUCUCAAUAAGAGCCGGCGAACUGGAAGUAGAAAGCCAUGAAGCGAUAAUAGAGAAGAUAAAACAAGCUAAGAACUCUGUCAACAGUGACUAUGUGAAUGCAUAUAUGGAGGCACUUGAUGGACCCCAAGCUAAUCUCCCUCCUCUUAAUGAGCUCACAUUGGUUUCUGACUGGACAAGGAUGCCAUUUCACAAGGUUAAUUUUCUACAGGGAGACGCAGCCUAUGCUUGUCCUCUUGUCUCUCCAUUCCCUCAGGCUGCUUACUUUAUGCAGAAUCCAAUCGACUUCAGAGGUAUUGAUGUGAGGAUUGGCUUACCUCCACAGGCCCUGGAUGCUUUCUCCCACUACUUCCUCAUUAAUCUUUUAUAAACCUGAAGCAUCCUCCUUAUAUCUUUGUUUAGUAAUUAACUUGCCCUUUUUGCUUGAGAUGGGUAAUGGACUUUAGGAGGCAGUGAAGAUUAUAAGAAAAUGAUUACCACAGGUUGUAAUAAUGGUAUGUCAUACUCAGUUGUUGAAAAGCUAGUUUUUAGAUACAUGAUACAUAAUAAGGAACUGCCAUUUCUUAAGAGGUAAUCCAGAUCCCAUUUCUUGUCAUAAUAGUAAGAGGUGCUUUUCUAGGUCAAAUACUGCUCCUUCUCUUUAAUGUGGGUCCUCGGAUAAUCUCAAGCUUAAGGAGAAGCAUGUAAAAACAAGCAAAAAACUCUGGGCUCAUGAUCAAGAAGAUGCAUUUCCUAUAGUUCAAAAACAAAAACGCUCUUGGAAAUUUUCACAAGUUGAAACUGUUCAACCAGCUAGAAACAUUCGCUCUGCUGAAAUAAAAACAACUGCUAGUAGCAUAGAGUUGUCUAGGGAAAAACUAGAAAUGGAAAUCACAGAUCAAUGAAGUAUCAAUUACACAAGGAAAACGUGAUUCUAUGGCAGAUCCUUCUCUCUUGGAGAUUCUGGCAGCAAAAAUCUGCUUUACAUGCACGUCCUAAGAGAAUAAGAACCAAACCCAAAUUCUUCUUCUGUUAUUGUCACCUUAUCUUGCUCCUGUUUCACCAUUACACUCUCUAAAUCAUCCAAGGAGCCAAAAUUAUUAGAAAAAUAACUACCCUGUGGCUUCUGUUGGCCUAUCACAUAUCCUUCAUUUGAACUCAUCAGGGUCUCCAUUGCCAAAUUGUCAACCUCAUUGUGCUUCAACAGAAAUGGAUCCACAAUAUCUGAUUGCCUUGUUGAAUUGAAGCUCUUGGUUCUCUGGAAAAUUGCAUUAUUUGGGUCCAAACUCUGGCCCAUAGGACUCCCAGUGCCAUGAUUAGGAAUUACAGAGUUUAUUGAACUACAUUCGGCAUUUGAGUGGUAAGUGGCAUCUCGCCUCUGGCUCUGGUCAUCCCACCCUUGUGGGGCAUUAUUAAUUAUUUGUCUGGUAUUACUUCUAAUUGAAGCUAUUUGGCACUGUAAAUCUGCCUUAGAGUCCUGCAAGUGAAUUGGCACUGUAGAAAUAGAAGAGACUUGAGAAGGAUUAUUCCCACUUUGCAAAGCCAUUGUUGACAUGCUAUCUCUGAUGUUACUAGGAAGCAGGGUAGCUUGUUUGAAACAGUCAUUUAAGCCAAAAGAAUUCGAUUGGUCACCUGUUGACUGAACAGCACUUGACCAGGUGUCAUUACAUCUACCAUGAUCCAAAAAAUUGGAAGAAAAUCCUGAAUCUAAAGAGGCCACAGUAAGAGAAGAUUGUUUUCCAAAUUGUCGGCCAUCUUGAACCUCUUGAACACUCCCUUCUAACAUCAAGGGUUUGUUUGAAACACCAAGGAAAGCACUGUUUGAGCUGCUAGCCAUUAUUUUUGCAUCCUGGAAACCAUUGGAAACAGAGAAAGUAGUUGUAUUAUUAACAUCAGUAGGAAGUUCUCUGAUAUAGGUAACACCCUUGUUAGGUUGUAUUUGAUCAACUUCCAAUGACAUCGGCAUCCCUUGAAGCACAUUCCCAUCAUUUCCAGUAUGCACAAUUGACUGAAAUUGGCUCUGACAAUUAGUCAAGUGGCCUGGGGUUGGCAAAGGACCUAUUUGAAUCACUCCACUAGAAGGCAGACCACACAUACCAAGAGCAGCAGGCGAAUUCAACCUACCAAGCAUGCCACUUGGUGGGAGAGAUCUGAAAGCUGCAUUAUGAAACUGCCCAGUUCCAGCCAAAUUGGGGAACCCAAGUCCAUUCACAGAACUCAUUUGCAAAUACGAAGAAUCUGUACUGCCUAACGCUGCCACCAUAUUAGCUUGCUGAUUUGCAACAGUGCUGAUCCUUUUAAGGUAAAGCCUAUAUUUCUGUAGAUGGCUCGCAACAUUUUCUCUUGUAAGCUUUUCAACAUUCAUCAAAUCGAGAAUCUUUUUAGGGACAGCUUUGUCAAUGCCUAACUGAUUAACAGCUGCAACAAACUUGCGAUGCAGCUCUACUGACCAAACAACCCGAGGUUUCUUUUGGGUUGUCGGAUCCUCAUUUUCAUGUUCAUUAUCAUCACGAUCCUCAUCCUCGUCUUCAUUCUGGUCCUUCCUUUUUUUAUUAAGCUUCUGGUCGGCUGUGGCUUCACUACUUCCAUGAUGAAGCUUGUCUUGGUUGUCAAAGUGAUUCCUAUCCUUGUUAUUGAAUUUUCUUCUCCUAAUUACAUGUUGCCAGAUGUUCUUUAACUCCUCCAUUCGAACAGGCUUCAGCAAAUAAUCACAAGCUCCAUGACUAAUCCCUUUCAUCACAAGCUUUGGAUCACUAUUUGCCGACAACAUUAUGACAGGUAGGUCCAUCUCAAGCCCCACGAGCUCCAGCAAUUUAAAACCAUCCAUGUCUGGCAUAUGCACAUCACUGAUAACCAGGUCAAACUUGUUCUUGUUUUCUCUCAACAUCUUCAAUGCUGCAAUUGCCUGACUUGUCGUGGUAACAUGGUAUUGGCAUCGACGAAGCAGAGUCUCUAGCAGCAAGAGGCAAGUAGGGUCAUCGUCAACGGCCAAAACCCGCAUGCCAAUGGGAAACUGGUCUCUAGGUUGUCCAAUUCCUUGCUCUACAGUCAUUUUAGUCGAAUAAAAUUUGACAAAGGAAUAAAAGAGAAUAAAAUGAUAGUAGUAUCUGCUGUGAAGCUCAGAUUUGAACAAAACCCAGAAGCUAAAACAAACGCAGAGAUUGAAAAAAUGAGAGAUUUGAGGGAGAAAGUGAUUAAAGAUUGCGAAUUGAAGAAGGUGGAAUAUGGAUUAGAGAGAAAAAGGACUAAAAAAUAGAACAAUUAAGUUUAGUUGCUACUGCCUUAACCAUGAAAAAGAGAGAGAAUAUGGGAACUACAUUUUGGACGGUG